rnacentral:lncRNA from 1 species
CACACUUUCACAACAUCAAAACUUUUUAUCAAGGGCUUGUUCCCAUGCAUAAUUUAAUGAAAAGCCAAGUAAAAUCACUUAAAUGCUUCAUUCCAACACAUAUGUAUUUCCCAAAAAACACUUUGAUGCAAGUUCACUCAUCGAUAUUUGUUGAAUCUUUAAUUGACUCUAACUUCGAUUAUUGCUUUUAACGGACAUGUGAGGCCUCGCUGGAACCUCGGUGGACUUAUAGUUGAACUCAUUUUCAAGAGUUUUCAAGCUACUAUGGCAAGUCUCUCUACCUCUCUCUAAAACUUCCAACUAGUGAGAGAAAGUGCUGAACAAAGACUUUUGAGGGUUUUAAGGUGGGAGAGUGAAAGAGCACAAAAGGUUUUAUGAAAAAGUGCUUAAAAGCAUGAAAAUUGAAGCUAGAAAGAGAAAGUUAUGGAAACUUUAAGGGAGACUUCCAUGGAAGAUGAAGAAACGUGAGGUGGGAGGAAGAAGAACAACAAGCUGCUGGAAAAAUGAGGAAGCUACUGGAGAAAUGAGAUAUUUAUAGCCUAAGCUUAUCCAAAC